rnacentral:rRNA from 1 species
GACGAACGCUGGCGGCGUGCUUAACACAUGCAAGUCGAACGGAAAGGCCCUGCUUGCUGGGUACUCGAGUGGCGAACGGGUGAGUAACACGUGGGUGAUCUGCCCUGCACUUCGGGAUAAGCCUGGGAAACUGGGUCUAAUACCGGUUAGGAGCGAUGUUUAGUGUGAUGGUUGGAAAGUUUUUUCGGUGUAGGAUGAGCUCGCGGCCUAUCAGCUUGUUGGUGGGGUAAUGGCCUACCAAGGCGGCGACGGGUAGCCGGCCUGAGAGGGUGGACGGCCACAUUGGGACUGAGAUACGGCCCAGACUCCUACGGGAGGCAGCAGUGGGGAAUAUUGCACAAUGGGCGCAAGCCUGAUGCAGCGACGCCGCGGGGGGGAUGACGGCCUUCGGGUUGUAAAAUCCUUUCGCUAGGGACGAAGCUUUUUGUGACGGUACCUAGAUAAGAAGCACCGGCUAACUACGUG